ensembl:lncRNA
UAUUUUUCUUCUCCCAAAUUAGCCCCGGACAUUUUUCCAGGCAAGAUCUUUCGGACUGCAGGAACAAUAAUGGAGGGUAGUGACCUGGAGUUAAAAUGUAGUACACAUGGACGCAAAGAUGAACAAAAAAAUGUACAUGUUUAUUUGUGCAAGAAUGGUGUUGCUUUUGAAAAAAUCAUGAAUAGAAAAGAUGAUACUAUUUUCACCCUGAGAAAUAUGGACAGACAACAGAGUGGUAAUUACAGCUGUGUUCUCUAAUAACUUGUACACACUCUCUGAAGUCCGAGAGAAAGGGGACAAUUCCAUUUAUAUCCAGGUCAUUGAUCGGAUUCUCCCUGCAGUCAUAUCAAUAACAGGCUCAAACACAGCAAAACAGGGAGAUGAUGUGGAGUUUAAGUGUACUAUUUCAGACCCCAUACUUACCAGCGAAUUAGUUCACUCUUACCUCUGCAAGAAUGGAACUCAUGUUCAGGUGCAGGUUUUUGAUGUUUAUAGAAUGGAGGCAACUUUUACUAUUAAGGAUGUUAAACUGAAUGACAGAGGGAACUACAGCUGUGUGCUUGACCUGCAACCAAAACGCAAUGAAUUUACAGAGAGGCAAUUAUAUGGAAGCAAUACAGCAUUUCUUCAGGUUGAUGUGUGGAGUUAUCAAAUCCCAGUGGUCAUGUUCUGUGUCUGUCUUCUGCUGGUCUUUUUACUGAUUGUGGGCAUUUACUGGCUGAUCAGAAAACAAGGUCAGAACCAUGUAAUUCUGUCCGUAAUAUGUGUACUACAAUUCGGAAUUAUAAUCUAUAUACUACUUUCUCUUUUGUCAGGGGUUGGGAAUCUGUGUUGUAGAAGAACACCACCAAAUGAUGUUCAAUUAUCAGAUGAAAGGGAAAGUAACAUUUCAAACAUGGAGGAAGAAUCCUGUGAUGAAUUUGACAGUUUGUCAGAGGAAGAUAUCUCAUACCAAAAUGUUCCGGAUUUAACACAGACCAAUGAUAUGAUAGAAGAUCCAGGACAAGGUGAGUUUAGUGUGUAAAAAUAUAUUUUAUACAGUUAGCUUAUUUAAGGCUUUUGGAUUUUUGUGUGUGUCAGGCCUGGGCUGAAAACCUCUAGGUAAAAUACACUGUUUUUCAUAAAUUACUGUAUAUACUAGUUUCCAUCUUUUAAUCUCCAAAACAGAGGCUGAUGACACAUACCAAGAUAUUUUGGUAAGCUGUUCAUUCCAAUAAUCUUUGGCUAAUGUUUACAAAUCAUUGUUAUAAUUCUCUUAGGUAUAGAUGCUUUCACGUCUACACUGAAGUUCUACCUCCUUUAAAUUUCCACAUUAUUUUCAUUUCAUUUUUUCAGGAUUUUACCAGGAUCAAGCAUACAGUUGAAGUUCCAUGUCAAGGUGAAUUCAAUGUUUUAAACUAUAUUUUCCACAGUUAGCAUAUUGAAGGCUUUUGGAUUUCUGUGUAUGUCAGCCCUUUAUGUCCAGAGGCGGCUCUUGGCAGGUGGUGUAGUAGAGCAGGACCAAAUGGUGACAGAAUAUUCAACAGACAAGUAUUGUGAUUUUGAAAGCAAUUACAAUUAUUGCUCAAAGAAAUAAAACUUAUACUACUCUUUUGCUCUGUUAACAUGCAUGGCAAUAAUAAAUAAUACUGGCAGGUGGAAAUCAUGGGUUUAGGAUGGUGGCCCAGAAAUGCCAAACACAACCGCUAAUACAAGUACAUCCCAGAAUGCAAAAACUUACCACUAAUACGAUGAUACACUCCCAAUAGAAAUGAUUCUCCCAAUAAUGCUAAAUAUAACCAAUAUUAUGAUUACAUACUCCCAAUUCACAGAGAACAAUACCCCUUCCCCAAAUAUGAACGCACCGCCGCAAUACCGCAAAAAUGUACCACUAGUAUGAUGACACAGUCCCCAUUGAAUACAUGGCCAUUUCUAUAUAAUUUCAUUGUUUUAACUGUACAAUGGCCCAUGGGAGUGUUUUUAAGUGCUUGCUAUUUUUUGUCCUGUUACAAUUAUCUUUAUUAAGGAUUUGCACAACCAGUGCACCAUGGC